AAAAUGGCAAAGAAUUCGACCUUUUGCUUUUUGGUCAUGUUGACCACUUUAGUCGUUGCGGUCUUGAUACAAGAGGGUUCAUGUGCCCCUGCGAGGACAACAGAUCCUACCCCUACUGAUGGUGCUCCAAGUCCACCAGGCCCCCCAGGAGGAUCCCGAUUGAAGCGGCAAAAUGCUACUCGUCGCAGCCGUGACGAUAAAAAUGGCUGACGGACCUUCUCGAGUGGAAGCUUGGCAGCCUGCCACCAGCAGCGGGAAAGAGAUUCCAAUAAAUAUUCGAACGA